AAAAAAAAACAUUCUAAAUACGUGACAUUGCGUUGUAAAGAGUGCUCUUCUUUUUCUUCGUUGCUAGUCUGACUGGUGUCUUCCACAGACCUUCAGUUUUCUCUUUCAUGCACGUCUCUCCGUGCGUCCGAAAUGUAGCUCAUACCAUUGAACGGCGGUUACUAGCGCUGACAUUUUUAUUCGCGCUUCUGAAGCAACACAUUCUCGCGCUUGAAGCGGCGCGCUCGCAGGAAGAGCGCGUGCUAGCAGGAAGAGGCGGCUUUCUCCGCAGGGCUUUCGCCGCGAGCGUCGAUCGAUGCCAAAGCUGCAGACAAUGAACUCUCCGCAGCUCCGAAGGCCUUUCCAUCGAGGUAACGGCAGCGCUACGCCGCCGGCGCAGCAGGUGCGCCUCGUGCUCUCUCCUUAUGCGCUCUUGCCCUCUUCUAGCCACGCGCCGUGGCUGUUACCACGAGCGAGCGCACACCCGCCACGACACGAGAAGUAGGCGGAGCCUCGCCCUCGUCACAUGGGCUUUGACGUCACGCGUCUGGGUUCCCCAUUUGGAGGUUAGCCGACGCGGAGCGACCGUCGCUUCUUGCUCAGUGCGGGCGCUUGCUGGCGAACCAAUUCGAGUGAUAACCAUCGUUACUGAGAAUAGUAUUCAAAUAAAGGCACUAAAUUCGACGAGCGGAACCUGUGUACGUACGUUUCGCCAUCGGAAAGCGGUAAAAAAUUGGCUACAGGAACCAGUGUGAGGCUCUUGCCGCCGGCCGGUUGUGAGCGUCGCGCGGCGCCGCUCCGUGGGUUGCGCUCCAGAGUACACGUGCCGAUGCCGAUAGCGUUCGGCACGUGGAGCCCUCGUCGCUGAGUGAGGGGGCGUAGAGGACGAGGGCGGCACGUGUCGAGGCAACCCGGAGGAGACGGAGCUGCGAUCGCGCUGAGCGCUGUGCUUGGCCUAUCGUCCCCCGAAGUCGUCGUCUGGGGGUUUACUCACGAAAAAGGUUUGCCGCCUCGGCUCGCCACAUUCCCGCCAUUUCCUGCUUGUGAAGAACGUGUUCUCGAGUCUCCGCGCACGAUGCUCUGGCAGUCCUGGCCCGGUGUUGGGGUAACAGCCGCGUCCGCGCUGCGCUACAACAUCCCCUGUGGAUUACGCCAAGACAGAAGAGGACAAUGCUGCUUCACGGCGGAUACCGUGUGUGGGUGCCAGUGCGCGCGUGUUUUGUGCCAUCGUGUUCUGCAUGAAGUGGGCUCCAUGAUCAGUGAGCGUGACCGCCCCGUCGUGUUGCGCUUCGCGAGACAAGUGCCCCGUUUCAAGGAGAGAAUGAAGUGUGUUGUGCGAUCAGUGGUGCACCUUUGCAAUCUUCACACCUUUCGGAUAUAACGCGCCGGUCUCGCGCUUUUUGGCGUGAGGUCCGCUGUAAAUAGGUGCUCUGGUAAGUUCAGGAGGCAUAAACUAUAGGAAAGCUAAACUAGGAAGUGGGGGGUUGUGCAGGAGGAAUGUCGCGAGGCGCGGACGAAACCAAAAGUGCACGAGUGUGCCUGAAGCCGCUGCCUGCUGCCGCGAAAAGGUCGUCGUCCCUCAUGCACGGUUGCGCAAAUGGUCGCCACAGUUUCACACUUCGCCCACACCUAUUCCCAUGCCAAGAAAGACCAUCGGCGGCAUAGUAAGAAGACGUAACACGGUCGGGGGAGUGCGUAAUGACCCUGCAAUAACUCAUAUAUGAUACGUAGCGACGGUUUGCUUCGUUUUUCGCAACGUAUAUUCCGGUUUUGUUUUGCUGGCCGGCGAUGCACAUGGAAAGAAGGACGCGUGAACAAUGCGUUCCGCGCAGGCUCAGCAGCGUCCAAGCGCGUGCUCGAGACAGAAAACCCGCGCACUGUGCUCUUGGAGGCACGCCGCGGUCCGUUCACCUUUGGUUUCGACCACGGCUCAUCGCAAAUGGGGUCUCGUUGUCGUCCGACCUUUGCUUCUUAUUCGAAGCGUGGGAAAUUGCGAAUUCACUUCAUGGGUGCGCGCGCGGCAAGGCGAAACGAUCGCAUGUCAACCGUUUCACUUUGCCGUUCGCUCAUGGCACAUUACAGCUGCCGUGCUUCCACAGUGCUCUGUGUUUAUCCGUUUAUUUGUUUAAACCGUGAUUAAACGAAACGCUCACGUGCGCGCUCAGCACACAUUUAAGCACUGCCAUCACUCGGUGCGCAAUUCUCUGCGGUCUGCGUUCUUGUGUGCUUGUAACGUUGCUUUUAGGAAGUAUCGAGUGGAUGAAGCGGGAAAUGUUCGAAGCGCCCGGUGAAACUUGCCAGCGACAGAGACUGUGGCCCCGUGACAGCGCGUCAGUCUAUGACAUCGAAAACCACCAGCGACUGAAUCCAUAUAGCCGCCGAUCCCCGCUGUCAUCUUGGGUAGUAACCGUUAUAGUGAGAAAAAGAACAACAAAUAAUUGGAAUGAACAAGGAGGGGAAAAAAAAAAAAACAGAUCCGUGCGGCAUUGUCGCUCGAUUCGGGUCCGCGUGACACGUGCGCAUUGUCAGUGGCCACGCUUUGCCUUUAAUGCAACUAAUAGCACAGUGAUAAAUCUAAUCAUAGCUGUACCGCGAACUGCCUGGAUGUUUUUGUCUGCAGGCACGCGACCGGGGCGGCGCCUUGAAAGGCUCUCGGUUACAAUAGGCUGCCUGGAAUGACAGCUGCCAUUUUGUGGAAUUUUUCCCGACCUGAACUCUGAUAUAUUGCCGUCGACAAAGAAAAAUUAAAUUAAAAAGAACAAUUCGAGAACUUGGCUUCCAGAGACGCUUGACUGAAAGCUUUCCUUGGUCAUAUGCAUGCUGCCACAGCGUGGAUAAAAGGGUAUCGUUCUGCUCUGAAUAAUUUUGGGCAGUAUGCGUGUAUACAUUUCUUGUCCCUCUGUGCAACAUUUAUUGAGUGGGGCGUAAUGGGAUGGGCACUCUGUCGGGCACUUUCCCACAUUUAAGUCAGUUCCCUAGACUGCUGUCUUCUUUAUGGUCGCCUGAAUAGGAUGAUAUGAAAAUAACGAGAGAGAGGGAGAAAGCAAGCAAGGAAAGGAAAGGUAGGGAAGUCAACCAGACGAGCGUUCGGUUUGCUACCCUACACAGGAGAGAAAUGAAACGGAAGGAGCAAAAGAGGGAGAGAGACAUGCAGUACCGCCAGUGUGAUGGUGCGCUACUCCAGCGAAGGAACGCAGCAGGCAUCGAAGACAGAAAUACGCAGCCCAACCUGGGGGCGAAGCCCUUCUAGCUCAAAUAAAACACACACAAAACCAGAGACUCCGGGCGCUACACUCGCAUCUGAUUUAUUAGAGUCCCCUAGAAGACCGGACAAAGCAAAAUAACUGGAAAACGAAAAACAAAGAAAUCUCGUUUCCGUAAUGACACGCGGAAGAAUCGCUGACACAAUCCGCGCCUCUCUCCCUGAUACGAAAAUGCUCUAAGAAAUUCGCGUGCAGUAGUUUAUUUGCUUCUGCAUUCUCGUGAAGCCGAGUUUCACACUUUCAAACCCAAUGUGCAGGCUGAUGCGCAUCGCCUUUAUUCCUAAUUGAAUGUUCGUGCUCCCGAGCACCACCGUCAGAGGUUUCCCUCGCGAAAGAGAAAUGAAUGAAUGAACGUUCGCUCGAACGACAGCUUCCAACGGUGACGCCACCUAGCAUUGUAGUCGGCGUCGUAAACACAAGUGCACAAGGUUGUACAGUUCCUGAAAGGGAGAGCGUGCGUGUAGUGUGACGUCACCACUGUCGCUUCAGGCGCCGUCUUGGACCGAGCAACCCGCGAGCGCUUUAAGUGGCGCCCACGAAGUUCUCGCUCAUGGCGCGUGUACACUUGCCCACAGAACUUGUCUCCGAUGACCCUGAACGCGGGCUGAAUUUCUUCGCUGCUUAAGGCGUGAGGGCUGAAAAUCGAGACGUGCACUAUGCGCAAGCCACUGUAAUCCCCCCUC